ACACAAGUUUAGUGGUAGGAAGGAGAAAUAGAGAGGAAGUCAGAAGAAAUACACAGAGAUAUUACGGCCAAAAUUAUAGCGGAAGAAAAUAAAAGGAUCAAGGAUGCAGCCAGUGGAAUCAGGGGUUCAGUUAAACUACUUACUAUAAUCAGGAAUAAGAGAUAGCAGUGAACUUUUUGGGUUGACGUGAGUCAUAGGAACUCCACAUGUUAUCAGG